rnacentral:lncRNA from 1 species
CCUGGCCACAUAAUAAGACACCGUCUCUACUGAAAAUACAAAAAUUAGCCAGGCAUGGUGGCAGGCACCUGUUGUCUGUUUACUCUAUUGACGGUGAUGGUUUCUUAUUUUUUUUAAUUUUUUUUUAUUUAAAUUGGUUUUUGGAAAACAGCUGGUGUUUGAUUACAUGAAAAAGUUUUGUUUUUUUUUUUCCUUGAGAUAGACCCUCAUUCCAUAACCCAGGCUGGACUGCAGUGGUAUGAUCUUUGCUCACUGCAACCUCUGUUUUUUUGUUUUGUUUUUUUUAGACGGAGUUUCACUUUUGUUCCCAGGCUGGGGUGCAACAAUGCAAUCUUGGUUCACUGCAGCCUCUGUCUCC